rnacentral:rRNA from 1 species
UUAAAUUGAAGAGUUUGAUCAUGGCUCAGAUUGAACGCUGGCGGCAGGCCUAACACAUGCAAGUCGAACGGUAACAGGAAGCAGCUUGCUGCUUCGCUGACGAGUGGCGGACGGGUGAGUAAUGUCUGGGAAACUGCCUGAUGGAGGGGGAUAACUACUGGAAACGGUAGCUAAUACCGCAUAAUGUCGCAAGACCAAAGAGGGGGACCUUCGGGCCUCUUGCCAUCGGAUGUGCCCAGAUGGGAUUAGCU